rnacentral:rRNA from 1 species
UUGCCAGCCCGCUCAGAAACUCAAAGGAAGUUGACGGGGCCCGCACAAGCGGUGGAGUAUGUGGUUUAAUUCGAUGCAACGCGAAGAACCUUACCUGGUCUUGACAUCCCGGAGACCCUUAGGAAACUAGGGGGUGCUUCCAUCUGGAAGAAUCUGGAGACAGGUGCUGCAUGGCUGUCGUCAGCUCGUGUCGUGAGAUGUUGGGUUAAGUCCCGCAACGAGCGCAACCCUUGCCUUUAGUUGCCAGCAGUUCGGCUGGGCACUCUAAGGGGACUGCCGGUGUUAAACCGGAGGAAGGUGGGGAUGACGUCAAGUCCUCAUGGCCUUUAUGACCAGGGCUACACACGUACUACAAUGGCCGAUACAAAGGGCAGCGACACUGCGAGGUGAAGCCAAUCCCGUAAAAUCGGUCUCAGUCCGGAUUGGAGUCUGCAACUCGACUCCAUGAAGUUGGAAUCGCUAGUAAUCGUGGAUCAGCAUGCCACGGUGAAUACGUUCCCGGGCCUU